rnacentral:rRNA from 1 species
AUCCCCAACAGCUAGCCCACCUAAAACGACUAACAACCCCCAUCAAUUAAACCAUCAAAGCACUCAGCCAAAUAUUAACAAACCAUUUUUCCACCCAAGUAAAGGGAGACAGAAAAGGACCCCCGGCGCAAUAGACAAAGUACCGCAAGGGAAAGCUGAAAGAGAAAUGAAAAAACCCAGUGAAGGAAGGAAAAGCAGAGCUCCACCCUCGUACCUUUUGCAUCAUGACUUAGCCAGCACCCCCCAGGCAAAGAGCCCUUUAGUCUGGGCCCCCGAAACUAAGCGAGCUACUCCAAGACAGCCUAUUGAAGGGCCAACCCGUCUCUGUGGCAAAAGAGUGGGAAGAGCUUUGAGUAGAGGUGACAGACCUACCGAGCCUAGUGAUAGCUGGUUGCUUGAUAAACGAAUAUGAGUUCAACCUUUUGACAUUUCAAACCCGAAAGGCUAAAAACCCCACCCGGACAAGGCGUAGUCAAAAGAGCUAUUCAAGAGAGGGACAGCUCUCUUGAAAAAAGACACAACUUUAACAGAAGGCUAAAGAUCAAAAGACCAAAAGGAAAGUACCCAAGUGGGCCUAAAAGCAGCCACCAGUAGUAGAAAGCGUUAAAGCUCGAGUAUAUAACCCCUAUAAUCCCGACAAACCCAUCUUACACCCCUUCCCACAUCAAGCCCUUCCAUGCACCCAUGGAAAAGAUAAUGCUAACAUGAGUAAUAAGAGAGCCAAGUCUCUCUCGAACACAUCAGUGUAAGUCAGAACGAACCCCCACUGAUAAUUAACGCCCCCAAACCAAGAGGGAAAUGAGGAAAACCAAACACGGCCAGAAAACCUCCCAAAAAGCAGCGUUACCCCCACACUGGAAUGAUGAACGAAAGACAAAAAGAGAAAGAAGGAACUCGGCAAACACUGGCCUCGCCUGUUUACCAAAAACACCGCCUCUUGCCCGAGAAGUAUAAGAGGUCCCGCCUGCCCUGUGACGAAAGUUUAACGGCCGCGGUAUUUUGACCGUGCGAAGGUAGCGCAAUCACUUGUCUUUUAAAUAGAGACCUGUAUGAAUGGCAUAACGAGGGCUAAGCUGUCUCCUUUUUCCAGUCAAUGAAAUUGAUCUGCCCGUGCAGAAGCGGGCAUCCCAACAUAAGACGAGAAGACCCUAUGGAGCUUUAGACGCCGGAGUAGAACACGUUAAACCCCCACGACAAGGUGGACCCAAACCAAGUGACCCCUGCUCCUAUGUCUUUGGUUGGGGCGACCGCGGAGAAACAAAAAUCCCCCGUGCAGAAAGGGGCAACCCCCCUAAAGCAAGAGCCACAGCUCUAGAGAACAGAACAUCUGACUAAAAAGAUCCGGCAACGCCGAUCAACGGACCGAGUUACCCUAGGGAUAACAGCGCAAUCCCCUUUUAGAGCCCAUAUCGACAAGGGGGUUUACGACCUCGAUGUUGGAUCAGGACUUCCUAAUGGUGCAGCCGCUAUUAAGGGUUC